UGUCCGAGAAUCGAACCCGGGCCGCCCGCGUGGCAGGCAUUCUACCACUGAACCAC
rnacentral:tRNA from 1 species